AGUUAUGCAAAAUUAAAUACUGAUGAACUUUGUUAUUUGCUUGCAGAAGAAGAACCAGCAGAGCGAACCCAACUUCCAAUUUCAUAAAGAUGAAAUCUUUGGUGAAAAUUGAGUCAGGAGCAUGUUAUUGGCCGAGUCAAGCUCAUCACUCCGCACCAGGAACUUUCAGAUUAUAAAAAUGGUGGCUAAUCGUUGGGAGCUUAAUGCAGCCAACAAC